GACGAACGCUGGCGGCGUGCUUAACACAUGCAAGUCACGGGGGCUCGCAAGAGCAACCGGCGAACGGGUGCGUAACACGUGAACAACCUGCCCUCGUGUGGGGGAUAGCCGGGCUAACGCCCGGGUAAUACCGCAUACGGGUCCUUGGGGGGAGUCCCUCGGGGAAGAAAGCUCCGGCGCACGGGGAGGGGUUCGCGGCCUAUCAGCUAGUUGGCGAGGUAACGGCUCACCAAGGCGACGACGGGUAGCUGGUCUGAGAGGAUGGCCAGCCACAUUGGGACUGAGAGACGGCCCA
rnacentral:rRNA from 1 species